GACGAACGCUGGCGGCGUGCUUAACACAUGCAAGUCGAACGGAAAGGCCCUGCUUUUGUGGGGUGCUCGAGUGGCGAACGGGUGAGUAACACGUGAGUAACCUGCCCUUGACUUUGGGAUAACUUCAGGAAACUGGGGCUAAUACCGGAUAGGAGCUCCUGCUGCAUGGUGGGGGUUGGAAAGUUUCGGCGGUUGGGGCUGGACUCGCGGCUUAUCAGCUUGUUGGUGGGGUAGUGGCUUACCAAGGCUUUGACGGGUAGCCGGCCUGAGAGGGUGACCGGCCACAUUGGGACUGAGAUACGGCCCAGACUCCUACGGGAGGCAGCAGUGGGGAAUAUUGCACAAUGGGCGGAAGCCUGAUGCAGCAACGCCGCGUGCGGGAUGACGGCCUUCGGGUUGUAAACCGCUUUCGCCUGUGACGAAGCGGGAGUGACGGUAAUGGGUAAAGAAGCACCGGCUAACUACGUG
rnacentral:rRNA from 1 species